AAAUUCCCCCAUGUCAUGUUGGCUGGGUGUAAGGCUCUCUGGGGGUCGAGUUCCUCAUAAGAAGGAGAGCAGUCUCUGCAGCUGCUCACCUUAUUUUGCUGCCUGUCUGGCAACUGAAAACUGGGGACUUCUCCUGGUUUUGAGCUGCUGUAUAACCUGGUAUAGCAGGUGAUUCUGGGGGAUUUUUGGCCCAUUUACUUGGAUUCCAUGGCGUCUUUUUCUUUAAUCAUCUGACCAGAAAAAGGUUUCUGCCCUGUGACAUCACAAAGGCCUACCUGUUAUGAUCACAAGGGCUUGACCCUGAUCUCAGGUUUUAGUCCUGAUGUCUCAGGGAAUUGGGUGCUGCCGACUCAGAAGCCUGAUGCAGUGGACAUAAGCAGGGCAGCCUAUGUCCAUGGUAUCCACGUUUCAUGGUCUCCAGGCAUGAGAUGCCUAUGUCAUGAUGCAAGACCUGUACUUUCCAGAGCCAACAAUUUCCUACCUCGGUGCUCAUCUCUGAGAGAUUUUCACCCAUUACAGUGUCUACUUCUUUAUGGACCUGAGAAGGGUAAUACCAGCUAUGAAGUUUAAAUCCAAAGGAAUUUCAUCAAGCUAACUAAAGAGAGGAAAUACAAAGUCUGUUUAUACUAAAGUUUUUGAUGUACUAUUCAGCUGCCAUAUUCAUAAUAGCAGUGGGAACAUAAAGAACAACAAUCUAAAGGAAGACAAAUCCUAUGUUUAAUGCAUCAUUACAAAGGCAGGGAAGAAUCAGAGAAGAUGAUGAGAAUUUGCUGGGGAAAUUCUCCUUGAGAUGAUCUUGGAUAUCCAGCUGAUUCUGAAGAAUAGGUAUGCAAUGGAACUGCAUAAUGCUACCUCUUAGAUGGACCUAAGGAUUAUGGGAACACA
rnacentral:lncRNA from 1 species